GUGAGGUUUUAAGUUGCUGAGAAUUAAUUACCUAGUGCCGUAAUUAUUUCCUCUUGUUUAGGUUUCUGUCAUUCAGGGCCUCUCUGGAGAGCCUCUUCCAGAAGAGCCAAAGAGGAUAGCUCCGGGAAAGAGGGGUGACCGCCGCGCUAAUAUGGAUUUACUGUGCUAACUGUGGAGGGGGGCGGUGGGGGGGGGGGGUAGGGUGCUGCCCUCCCACCGAGUGGGGGCUUCUCGGAGCCGACAGGGGCUGAUCGAGUAUCCCCACAGCCUACUAACCGCAAGUCCAUUACGAGGCGGGCGAAGCUUUUUCACCCUACCAAUUGGGGCUUGAAUUCAGUACUGAUUCCCAGGCUACUUCCUGCACGCCCAGAAUCAGGAUCUACACUGGAGUCACUUGGAAAUCUGUAUUGUUAACAAGAAUGCCAGAUACAAUAUUUGAUAUGGGCGAUACUAUACGUAACAUGUGAGAUACAAAGAAUACUUGUGGACCCAACAGCCAGUUUAAGAAAGCAUCACCAGGACCUAUUCAACCACUGUCCCAGUCAGAGCAUUCAAGAAGUCGAAGUGAGGUGUGAAAUUCUGGAUAUCCUUGGGUCUUCCGGUUGGAGCCAUGAUCAACUGUGCUGACCACACAGGAGCCAAAAAUCUGUAUAUCAUCUCUGUGAAGGCAAUCAAUGAAUGACUGAACAGACUUCCUGCUGCUGGUGUGGGUGACAUGGUGAUGGCCACAAUCAAGAAAGGCAAAUCAGAGCUGAGAAAGAACGUACAUCCAGUGAUGGUAAUUUGACAAUGAAACUUAUACUGGAGAAAAGAUGGUGUGUUUCUUUAUUUUGAAGAUAAUGCAGGGGUCAGAGUAAACAAUCCCUGGAGGAGGAAAUGGCAUUCCACUCCAGUAUCCUGUCCGUGUACGGACAGAGGAGCUUGGCGGGCUACAGUUCAUGUGGUCACAAAUAGUCUGACACGACUGAGCAACUGAGCACAUAGUAAACAGUAAAGGCAAGAUGAAGGGUUCUGCUGUUACAGGAUCAGUUGCAAAGGAGUGUGCAGACCUGUGGCCCAGGAUUGCAUCCAGUGCUGGCAGCAUUGCAUUCUUCUUCGAUGUAUUUGUAAAAAAGAUGUAAAAUAAAAAUUAUUUUCUCCCCCUCCCAAA